UUUUUUUUUUUUUUUUUUUUGUAGUUGAACGUGGAUCUUUUGAUGACCUUCUAGUCUAUUUUAUUGCUUUUUAUUGAACGAAACUUACCCAUUUGCGGAAUUAGGCGUGUAGGUGCUACAUAAUUGAUAUUCACCGACUUUAUCUGCAGGCUUCAAAGGUUGAAAUAUCAUCCUUUCGUUUCAAAAGAUAAGAAGACAACUCUUGGCAGAAAUGGAUUCAUAGCUACACACCAAGAAUGAAAAGCAAAGAAUAGCACAAAUUUGGCCAUACUUUUUUUUUUUUUUUUUGUAAUGGUUUUUUGUUGGGGAGAGAAAACCAACGGAAUAAUGACAAAUUGUCAUAAUUUAAACAACGCUAACAAGAGGAGCAUGGUCAUGCUGCAUGAACACAUAGCCAUAGAUGACACCGGCCAAGCCACCACCAAUGAGGGGUCCAACCCAGUAAAUCCAGUUGCCGCUGAAGUUACCGCUCGCCACGGCCGGUCCAAAGGAGCGAGCUGGGUUCAUUGAUCCACCGGAGAAUGGUCCGGCGGCCAAGAUGUUGGCACCGACAAUGAAACCGAUGGCAAUUGGGGCAAUGACACCCAGUGAACCCCUCUUUGGAUCAGCUGCCGUGGCAUAGACUGUGUAAACCAAAGCAAAGGUGGUGAUGAUUUCCAUCACAACUCCUUGAAGUGCUCCUACCCCGGCGGCAACACUGUGGAUUGGAAUAGCCUGACAAAAUUCACCACAAAAUUACAUUAGAAAAGGCAUCUAUAAUUUCGAAACACACUAAUUACGGACGUUAGAAAUGGAACUUACCAAGCCUCCAGUGACAACUUUGAGAAGGUAGGAAGCCACAAUUGCGCCCAAAAGUUGAGCAAUCCAGUAUAGGAGACCGGUGAGGAUGGUGAUUUGACCCCCCAGAGCCAAACCGAAAGUAACGGCGGGGUUGACGUGGCCGCCGGAGAUGUUGGCUGCAAUGGCGACUGCAACAAAGAGAGCAAAACCAUGGCAAACUGCGACUGCCACAAGCCCAGAAGGAUCAAGAGCCGCGUCUGAUGUCAGUUUGUCUGCCACAAAUCACAAUUUAUGUAAACAAGCUAGUCAAGAGAUUAUAAGCAAGCCAUAAAUGGCCUUAGUGACCAACUCAAAUCUGCAUGGGCAUGCAUGGGAUGAGGACUCCAUACUAGGUUUUUUGGGUCAUUGAGAUGCAUUGAAUGAUUGUAGGGAACAUUAAUAACACUAUCAGGUGUGUGCUAUUAUCGCUGCUAAAGAUCAAUGUUAUCUGUUAAAAAUGCAUUUCUCUUUUUCAUCUUUUUCUUGAACGUUAAAAUUGACUAGGCUUGUGUGAUAAUCUAGAAACUAGAAAGUAAAGGUACAUAAGGAAGCUUAUUUACUGUAGGCCAUGGCUGAACCAACUCCGGCGAAGACGAAAACCAAUGUGGAGAUGAAUUCAGCAAGAUAUGCCUUGAGAGACCCUACACUAAAUGAAUCAUCAAACCGUCCGAAAGCAAUUCCAGCCAUUCCUUUUUUUUUUUUUUUUUCCUUUUGCUUUUGGGGGGUGGUUGGGGAAGAAGGGGGAGGAAGAGGAAGAUAAGCCUGAGAGUUGAGAGCGGCGGAAGGCUGGAGCUAGAUGUAGGAAAUGGAUAGAAAGCUUUCAGAUGACAAAGCUACCUUUUCUGUCUCACGUACAAAUAUAUAUACUAAACACGUACAAAUAAAAUAAAGGUAUUUGGAUAGCAAAUUAUUCGUGAGUUUUGUUCCUGUAGCACAUGCCAUUUGCCAAAUUCUAAACCCAACCGAUAAUCAUUUAUGUAUGUAGUAAAGAUUAAGUAGUAGUAGUUGGAUUAUGUACUUGAUGAUAAUGUGACUGCUGGGUCAUCGAUAUUGGAUUGGGAUCCCGAGCUCCGGAUGACUGUUUUCCUCGUUAGAAGAUGAGAGGAAUAUGCUGUGUACAAUUAAUCCAUGCAUUUGCGAACAAGGGCUGUGUACAUACAUUUCUUGCAAUCCUCCUAGCUGUCCUUGACUAACAUGCCUUGGAUGCAAUUGUCAGGAAUGAUGCAUCCAUGUGAACCGACCAAUAGGAGAGGAGGCUAAUGGUGAAUGUCCCUUUUGGGGCCCCCCCCUUUCCCUCCCUUUGUGAUAAAAAAAAAAGGAACUAAGUCAAAUAAUGACACAGAGAGAAAAGGAAAGGAAGAAAGAAAGAAAGUGGUUUCCGGCAUGAGUUAACUUUGCGCCAAAAAGUGGACCGACCAUUACUUUUUGAAGAGGUAGGGAUGAUUGAUUGAGGAGGACUGAGUUGCUCAAAAAUGUGUGGAUGAGAAUGGAGUAGGAUUACUAAUUACUAUUUGCUAGCAUCUAAUUUUUGUUGCUUAAUUAUUGCAAUGCACACGUACGUACUUUCAAGGGGUACGUUUGAUCAAUGUAAUUGAUCAAUUCUAAGAUGGGAUUGGGAGGAAUCUUGUGAGGAGUUGUUGGCAUAUUUGGAGGUUUUGGCUCCAUCGUGGAAGAUAUUAAUUGUUGUACUAAAAAUGGGCUUAAUCAUUUACGUAUGUUGAUGCAUGGUUCAACAUGUCCAAUUGAAGAAUUGAAGCAUUUUGUUUUCGUUAGUGGAGGGAGGGAGGGUUCACAUGAUUCCUUUUGUCCUCUGGGACUGCAUCAGAAUGUUGUUAGUGACGACGUAUUGACAACUCCAAUUCAUCAAAUACUACUAUUCCACGUACGUUUAUUCACUUCACUACUAUAUAUUACUGUGGCCUUAUUCCAAAUUUGGUAGUAUCGAUCAAAUUGGAAAGUCUUGUGUCCUCAUAUGAUAUGAGAUGGUGGGGCUGGUAAUUAAAAUGAAUUAGCACUAAACUUCCAACUUAGUAGAAUGUGCACUUAAUAGGUAUGCCAUACAAAAUCUCUACAACUUGUAUCCAAUCGCGCUAUCAUUCAUCUGCGCACUCGCAAAAGGGAAUUGUCGACUUUUGCUUUUACACUUUCUGGCGCAUGAAUUGCCAUCGCCACAAGCUUUGUGAGUUAGUUCAACGGUACCACCCAAUGGCCGUGCUCUUCUUAUCAUCUCAGAAGGGCACCAAUACCACCUUUAAGCCUGAAUAAGGGCGUUCACGUAAAAGAACCUUAGACUUUCACACUUUUGGGCCUAGUGACUUUCACGGCUUUUGAAGGUUGUUCGGGGAUCUAGGUUUAUUUACACAAAAGUCUGAGUUUCUCAGCUUGGAAAAAGACUGCUAAGGCAAUAAAUAUGUAAUGGACAAAGAGUAAUCAUUAGUGUCCGUCCACAUUCUUUGAAAAUUGACAAACCCAUUUAAAAUGCCGGUCGUUUUCAAAGCGUCUCCUUGAAAACAAACUGAAAUCCCGUUUCUUUGAUACAAUCGGGCCAAGAUCCAUAUCGAGUGAUAUUUCUUAACAGAAAUCAAGUACUUGCAAAAAAAUGAUCUAGAUUCUUUUGGUUUCAUUAAAGAAUUUUCCAAUAAGCAAUGGAUAUUGGUGCAAGUAGAAGACAGGAAGAGGCUUGCAUCUCUUAUCGAUGAGAUCUCGGAUUCGAAACUCUUGGGAAUAGAAAAAAUAAUGUUGGGAGAGUUUUCCCUGCAAGGGGCCGAUCCUACUCGAAUAGAAUUAGUCGCAGAUCGUAAAACGGAUGCGAACACCUGUGGGUUAUACCUAAAAAAAAAAAAAAAAAAGAACUUUCCAAUAGGGGUCUAAUUUGAUACACACAUUACAAUUACAUUUAUUUUUUAAAUUAUAGAGUGCAUUUUUUUUUUUCAAAUUUAAGUUCACUUUUCCAGAAUGUUAGUACUUGCUCGUGACCUAUCUUUGCCCGUUACGCAAUCCCGUGACACUACUGAUCAGGUAGACCAAGCCAGCGUUCGUCUGCUUCUUAUGCUGCAAUUAGAACGGGACAUUGGCAUGUACCAACUCUAUUUCAUAUUUAUGGUCAGAGCUUGAUUAGAUUCUCAAGUUCUUAACCUAUCUGUUGAGUAUUUUUUGAACUUAUAUAGUUCCAAUGUAUAUAAACAGAAAUAGUGAAUAGUGAUGGACUGAUGGGAUGGAACCUUGUACUUGGCGAUCACGACCAAAACUCCAACCUAUCAACCCUACAGCGUAGAAAGCUUCUGGUUCUGGAGGGAGGCGUGGUGCAGCGGCUGAUACGUUAAAAUGAUAGAUAGGCAGCAUUAAAAGGGGUUGUUGGCUAUACCGCAACGUCGCAAUUAAGAGCUUAAUAGAGAGAGAGCCAGGAGAAAUUUAGGCAUUAUCCGACCACCAUCAAGUACUAAUUGGACGUUCUUUUCUUUUAUUCUUUCCUUUUGGAUCAGAAAAGUUCUUUUCUAUGUCAGGCGAGAACGGAAAACACAAAACUCUCAAGAAAGGAAUUUUUUGUCCAAUGAUCUUAAACAUGGGCAGAGCCAGAUAAGAAAAUCGAGGUUAAUGAAUCCCAAGUUUUUUCUACUUUCAGUUUUUGCAGCUAGAUUUUGAAGAAAUUUGUCUUUUAGGAUAUAUAUCAGAGGCAACUGCGAUUAGAAUUUAUUAGAGACCAAGAGACGACAGAAUUUCCAUAUUCAGGUACUUUGGGGUCAGUGAGGCCUUAGUUUGGUUACGCAACAGAAAGUGAUUAUCUGAUAUCCAGACUCGGGAUAAAAAUCCCAAUUGGCAAAAAUCUUAAUUUUAGUUCUUACUGGUGUAUGAGUUCUUGUUCAUAUGUAAGUUUACUGGCCGGAACUGAGACUUUUCAGCAAUGCCAAUAUGCUGAUUUCAUCACUGUUGAAAUGAACCUGGAAACUGGAAAUAUGACUCUAAAUUGAGGAAUGAAACAAAUUGCAUUUACAUUUGCAUGCAUGUAGUAAUUGCCAGCACCGAACUUCUGUCAAAUUCGGCAAGUGGAUAAAAUAAACCGCUGUUCAUGGGGGUGGGGUAACAGUUUUUUAAACCGAGAAGAUAGCAAUGCCAGUAGUUAUUUAUGGACCAGCUACUUAAUUUACUGGAACAUGGCUCUUGCCUCUUGGCUUGGGUAGAAAUAGACACUGUGCCCAUUGCCUUGCUGAGAAUGUAUUGAUGUUAUGUGCGCCCACGUAUUCAACAACUGUUCUCCCUCAUCGUUUCACGAAUUGAUUCAUGACGCGAGAGCUUUGUCAAUUUAAUUUUAGAGUUUAGUCAUUCACCAACGGGUAUUUACUAUCACUAUUGUGUUCGUUGAAACUUGAAAACAAACAGUACAACACCAGUGCCAACUUAAUCAAGUAGAAAUUAUAGCAAGAGGUCCAACAAAAACGGGGACUCCUACCACACAGGAUCCUCAGUACUAUUUUUUCUGUGACAAUUCAGUGUGAUUUCUAUAUUUAUGUCAAAUGUCCUGUUCAUUUAAUUUAUCAAGUGUUGUUUAUUUAAAUUUCUUCUACCAUCACGUGAUAAGUGGAAUUGGCAUUGGAUUUGACACCGAAUAGUGACACAGAGAGGAUCCCAACUGAUCUCCUACCCGCCCUUGUGCAUUAUGAUAAGCAGUAAGCUACUCCAAUCCAAUACCUUACCUGGCAGUUCUAUAGUAUUAACUAUUAACGCCACCUGGUCCAGAGUUCAAAGUGUUUCACUUGAGCGAUCAAUAUAGCAAAUUCAUGCGUUCAAGUUGAUUACCUCACUGAAUCAGAUUAUUCCUUCUACUCUUAACCAGUGCCACUUUGAGCCCCAACUCAUCUGCAUGCUAUGGAAUUCAGUGGGGAAAGAACUCUUUGGAGUUUUGUGGAUGAGGAGAAAAAGAACAUAAACUUGCCAAGGAGACUUUCAUUUGGAAACCAGGAGCUUGAUUCUCAUUUGGCUUCCGCAAGAACAUCUUGUGCUUCUGCCGCAUCUUUCCCACUCUGGCCGAUGAGCCCUGAGACCCCGUGGACCAGAUCUCCGUUGCAUGCAUCCGCAUCCCCAAACUCAUCUCUUCUCUACCAUUGUAUAGCCUCUCUCCAUCGCAGUGAAGGUAAAAUCUUCUCCAUAGCCGCAUCAAAAGACUUUGUCUUCACUGCGUCAGACAGCAGAAGGAUCCAUGCAUGGAAACUUCCAGAUUGCACGGAGAUGGGAUACAUCAAGGCUAAAGCUGGGGGAAUUCGAACCAUCUUGGCUCAUGGGAAGCUGCUCUUCACUGCGCACGGGGACCACAAAAUCCGGGUUUGGGACAUGCCACCAACAGAAAACUUUCAACACAAGAAAAUCACCACCUUGCCAAGAAGAUCUUUCCUGGUGUAUGCUAAAAUGAAUAUCCAUAAAGACUCUAUAUCAUGUAUGGCUUACAACCACAUGGAAAACCUUCUGUACACAGGUUCCUGGGACAAGACAGUUAAGGUGUGGAAAAUCAGAGAAAAGCAAUGCCUCGAUUCGUUCGAGGCUCACGAAGGUAAUGUGACUGCAAUUGUGAUAAACCAAGAAGACGGCUGUGUUUUCACGGGUUCUUCAGAUGGAACGGUGAAAAUAUGGCGAAGGGUUUACCGUGAAAGCUCCCACAUUCUCACAAUGACCCUAAAGUUUCAACCAUCACCGAUAAAUGCCUUGGCUUUGAGCUCGUCACCUGGCGGUUGCUUCCUCUAUUCUGGCUCGUCGGAUGGGCUCAUAAACUAUUGGCAGAAGGAGAGAAUGUCCGGGAGGUUCAAUCAUAAAGGAUUUUUACAGGGUCACCAUUUUGCAGUUCUUUGUUUAGUGUCGAUUGGGGGCUUGAUCUUGAGCGGUUCUGAGGAUGCCACCAUAAGGAUAUGGAGAAGAGAGGACGGAGAUUCCUUCCAUUCAUGUCUUGCGGUCAUUGAUGGCCACCAUGGGCCAGUGAAAUGCUUAGCGGCUUCACUAGAAACCGCUGAUGUAUUGAUUCGACUGUUAGUUUACAGUGCUAGCUUGGACCAAACUUUUAAGGUAUGGCGAGUUAAAGUAUAUCCAGCUGAGAAUGUGAACUUGGAAAAGUCAGAAGCAAAGCAUAGCCAAGUAGAAAUGGAGUGUCAAAUGAGUCCAGUACUAUCUCCUUCAUGGGUGGAGAGGAAAAUGCAGGGAAGCCACUUUGAAUAGGAUAAUGAUAAAAUACAUGAACUUUACAUGCAUGUUUAUCUGAUAAUCCUGUUAAGAAUUUAGGUUAUUGUAGAUGACAGCAGUGUACGUAGUGUCCGAUAAGAUCUAGUUUCAAGUAGAAAUAGAACUGCAAAAUAUUGAGUUUAUACUUGAUUCGUUUCAUAUCUUUUCUUAGUUCUGUGUGAGAAUCUAGCUCCAUUUAUGCAGGCAGAUUAUGGUGCCAUUUCAGUUAACCAAAUACUGAGUAUUUCUUUCUGCCUGCCCUGAAUUUAAGAAUUUAAGGUUGUGACUUGUGAGUGCGAGUUAAGCGUUCUCUGACAUCUUUUACAUCUGUUUGUAGCUUUAUGUUUCCUGCUCAACAGUACGGAUUUCGUGAGGAUGAAGCCUCUACAUCUUAUAACUGUUCGAAGAUGUACUUUGCCUGUGCUAACCUGUCAAAUUGUGAUUUGCAAUCUAAAUAGAGAGGUAGGAAUCGAACCCGACCACUAGGAAGGACCUCAAAUCGCUCGGCAUCCCUACGGGGCGGGGGAUGGCCGCUAGGGGUGGCAACGGGACGGGGUUGGGGCGGACUCCCCCAUCCUCCGCCCCGCUGCCUACAAACUCCCCCCGCCCUCGCCCCGUCCCGCGCCACCCACUCCCCCCGCCCCGCCUCGCUACCCCCGCGGGGUUAAUAAAAUUUUAUUAUAAUUCAAUUUUAAUAAAUAAUCAAGUACUAAAAUAUCAACACAUCAUCAAGUAAUUAUUCAUUUUAAUUUUACAAUUGAAACUCAUAAAAACAAUCAAACAAAAGUUAUUUGAAUACAAUCCAACAUGAUGAAAUAAAUACAACUAAAAUAGUUAAGUUUUUACUUUUGGUACAAAUACAAUCACUAAUUCAUUAUUGUGUUUGUGCUUUUUUUUUUGAGAAAAAAGUGUUAUUCUAUUAAGUGUAAUUAGAAAUUUAGUAUAAAUGUAUUAGUAAAUUUAGUAUAACUAAUUAAUAAAUUCUAUUAGUAGACAUGUCUAAUUAUUCAUAUAAUUGAUAAUAUCAAUUAUAUUACAUGCACUAAUAUACAUUAUAUAAUACAUCUAACUAAUAAUAUCAUUAUCAUAAGUUUAUAACUAAUUAAAUUACAUAUUAUAUAUAAUUAUAUUUUUUUUUUUUGCGGGUGGCGGGGCGGGGGAGUACCGGGAAAAAAUUCUCCCCCGCCCCGAGAGCCCCCCCGCGGGCAACCGCCCCCGUUGCCAUCCCUACGCUCGGCCCACCAUCCUUCCGUUCCGUGGGUGAAUCCUCCGCUAAGGGGCCAUACCAACUUGUACGGCAUACAUAGAAAUUCAUAACUCAGGGCAAAUCACACCACCAUCUAAGUCACCCCAUUUUGCAACCGAAUUUGUCCAAACACAUCAAAUGGUCCCCAUCAACCCAGUCUACCAAAUAGUACUAAUUUUUCAAUCAAAUUUACGAGAUGUUGGGUUUUCUUCAUUCAAUUAAUGACAGCUAACCACCUCAUUUUACUGAUGGGAAGUGAAGGGUCCUCUAGAUCGGUAAUCUAGUUGCAGAACCUAAUAAAAUUUAAGCUAACAAAAUGAUAGAUCGAAUCACCAACAGGACAAUAACUGCACGAUGAUCUGCUCCCGAAUCCUGCAUUAGAAACUUGGACGAAGCAAAUUCUUCCAAACACGAAAGUGUUACCCAAUCCCCUCGACACGAGUUCCAACAAUUUUUUAUUUGUAUAUUAGCUCAAGGGGAUGAUGGAAGACAUUGUGGAUAAACUAAUAGUCGAUUACAAAACACGCGAUUAUUAGAUUUGGCAUACUAGAAUAGUCAAUUACAAGACGUGUGAUUAUUUGAUUUGUUGUGUAUGUCACGUUAAAGAGAAAAGAACCUCAGUAGUCAUACAAGUUCCAGCAAAAAAUCAAACCGCAUAAAAUUUCUUUCCUACACAUAUUGAAGAUUGUGCGUCACGUCUUGGGUAAAGGAGUAUGAAGACAACCAGGUGAAGAGAAAAUACUAAAAAAACACUUAAACAGCUAAAGAGGGCACAAUGUUUCUUUAGAUGCAGGCGGGCAAUCUAAUCUAAUUGCGUAUCUUCGGGAAAGGGAAUAGAAGUGCAGCAAUGGUAAUAACCAUUUUCAUCAAACCGAAACCUUUCAGAAAGAUGGGCUUCACGGAUGACAUACACUCCCCAAUCCUCAGAUCCGUAUUGAUC
rnacentral:lncRNA from 1 species